AAAACAAGAUGGUUCCUCCAUUAGUUAAACAAAUUACUCCUUUGCUUACAAUUUACAAACGUCGGUUGAGACAGCGACAAAGAAGAUUUUUUAAGUGGUACGUUCUACUAUUAUUGCUUCACCGUUCUACUUUAUUGCUAAAGGUAUAUGAGAAUUAUAGCUGCUCUGUCACUACUGAAUGUGACGGCAAGUGUUAAAACAAUAACCACUCUGAACUCUGAAGCCAAGGAUUUGAAGUUGUCGUCGCUUACCGAGAAACAUUGGAUGGUAGAGUAACAUUUGGGAAAAUUACUCGGAUAAGCAAUUCAAAGGUGCUUUUAGAGUUUCGAAAGUCAACAUCAUUUUGGAAGAAGAUGGAAAACCAAGAAAUUGUUCCAAACAUUGCUAAGAAAGUUAGCAAUUGCAAUGUAUUUCCUUUAAUUGUUGGAGACUCUGCAUUUCCAUUUUCAACCUACCUAAUGAAGCCUUAUUCAAGAGGUGUCUUGAUGGAAAAGCAACGCAAUUUCAAUUAUCAACUCAGUAGAGCUCGAAUGGUCUCUGAGUGUGCCUUUGGACAGUUAAAAAGUCGAUGGCGGAUUUUGUACAGGAAAUGUGAAUGUAGCAAAGAUUCUGUGAAAGUAUUUAUAUUAGCAUGUGUAGUUUUGCACAAUAUUUGUAUUGAAAGAGGGGAAGUUCUUUCUUCUCACCUUGACAUUUCAGUGGAUCCUGCUACUUAUCAGCAAAGAGAUAGAGCAGUAGUUAGAGAUUUUCUUAAAAUGAGGGCUUGUGAAAAGACUAGGGACACAUGCAACAAAGCUGAACAGAUUCGUUCAUCAAUUUCUGAAUAUUUAUGGAAAGAAAAAACCUCUGGUACAAGCAGCACGUAAACAUAGCAAUUUAUUACCAUUGCUCAGUGGCAAAACCAGGUUGUGCUAUAUAAAUUAUAGAUCAUUAGUAAUAUUUAUUUGUGUAGAAGUCAUUUACAUGGAGGGAGCCAGAUGAUAUUUUUUUAGCAUGACCAAACUGGCUAGCCAGUUUAUGCCAAUGCGCAAGGCAUUAAAUUGGAAUGUUUACUUGGUUUUCAUUGAAAUUCUAUGCACUAUGGACUUUAUUAGAGAUAACUGAAUGUUUAGGUGAGGGUCAUAACAGAAGUAUUCUAUGUUUAGGAUUUUUAGUGAAUUAUUACACUUGAAGAACUUGUAAGAUACGCUUCAUGCAGCCAUAGUAAAAUGUAAUGUUCUGUUCAUUCUCAUAUUUCUCUUAAACAUAAAAGAAUAUCUUCUUACAAAAACAGUAACAAAACAGUCAUAUUUAAAAAAACAAAAGAAUGUUUCUCAAUUUGUGUUCAAAUAAAGUAUUUGUAAAGAAAUUAAAAUACAAAAACAGUGUCAUAAA